rnacentral:rRNA from 1 species
UACGGAGGGGGCUAGCGUUGUUCGGAAUUACUGGGCGUAAAGCGCGCGUAGGCGGCCUUGUAAGUUAGAGGUGAAAGCCCGGAGCUUAACUCCGGAACUGCCUUUAAGACUGCAUCGCUAGAAUCGUGGAGAGGUGAGUGGAAUUCCGAGUGUAGAGGUGAAAUUCGUAGAUAUUCGGAAGAACACCAGUGGCGAAGGCGACUCACUGGACACGUAUUGACGCUGAGGUGCGAAAGCGUGGGGAGCAAACAGG